rnacentral:lncRNA from 1 species
CAAGACUCCAUUUAAAAAAUCAGUAGAACAACAACUCCAUCUCUCUCAUUCAUCAAUUACCAUCCUUCUUCAAAACUACACACACAACUCCUUCACCAAAACUUCAUACUACUUCUAAACACCACCACCAUUAACCAUAUUCUUAUUCUUCCAUCUCCAUACAUAAACACUAAUCUCCAUAUUCUCAAACUCACGUAAAAAAGAAACUUUCACAAAACAUUCUACAAAACCCUUCAUCAUAAACUUCACCAACAACACUACAUAAAAAUCAACCGAUUCUCUAGCCAUAACAAGCCUUAAAC